rnacentral:lncRNA from 1 species
AGUGGAUGUAAUUACUCUGCACUUGUUGUCACAAUAGUUUCUGUUUACUUAUUCCUUUUAAAGAUAAAGCCCACUUAAGACAAGGCUUAUUUCAUGGAUGAGAUGAAGUCGGAAUCACUUUCUCCACUGUAAAGACAUCCCAGUAGACCACUAGACCACGUUUCUACACAAGAUUAAGUACAGUGUUGAUCGAAGGGUUUAAGCAAACUGCACUGAAUCAGGGGGUAAUUGUGUUGCGCAGUGGAGAUCAACACAGAGUACAGCUCAGUCGGCCCAUCCUGGCCGUUCAGAGCAAACGGGGCAUGUAAUUAUCUGGAGCCAUCUCAGGAGGUCGGCUGGGAUUUGGGGAAUGUGUCCCCCUCCUCCACAUCCCUGUUCUUUUCACCUUUCAACCCCAUCGUUCUUCUCAGCAUAAGGGCAUUUCUUCAGCUGGAGGAUCACACUGUCACACCAGAGUGGACAAGACUGGCCGUUCGGUGUCCAUCUCUGUGAUUGUCAAGGCGUGGCCAUCAUGACAAGGCGUUCUUACAAAGCUGCACUCAAGUUAAAAGAAGUUCCAAAGACAUGUCUCUAGACCUUCCUUCCACUGCCCAACAUCUAGUAUUCUUCAAUGCUGAAACGUGUUGAAAGUCCUUUAAAUUGGCAUGGUACUUUGAAAUUAGUUCAGCUAUUGUAUUUAAAUCUGAACGCAGGAUUCAAAAAUGUUUUAGCAGGCAACCUAAUGUGAUUUUUUUUUUUUAAACCAAAAGGAUGCAUUAAAUCCUAUCAAAAGUGGUAGUAAACACAUUUAUAAUGUUACAAAAGAUUUCUAUUUCAACACAGAAAUGCAUUCUGUGUUAAAGGCCCCUUAAACUGGUUGAAGGGGCUGUUCACAUAGAACUUGUUUUAGUGUUAAAAACUGCAACAUGAGAGUAGCAGAAAAAAACCUGAACAUCCGAUGCUGUCCUAUUUACUCAGGAAACAAUUGAAAAGCUGCAC